GGUAGCUAAAUGCGGAAGAGAUAAGUGCUGAAAGCAUCUAAGCACGAAACUUGCCCCGAGAUGAGUUCUCCCUGACUCCUUGAGAGUCCUGAAGGAACGUUGAAGACGACGACGUUGAUAGGCCGGGUGUGUAAGCGCAGCGAUGCGUUGAGCUAACCGGUACUAAUGAACCGUGAGGCUUAACCUUACAACGCCGAAGGUGUUU
rnacentral:rRNA from 1 species